GGAAGCGUGGCAGAGCGGUCGAUUGCAGCGGUCUUUAAAACCGCCGGACUGUGGAGGUCUCGUGGGUUCGAAUCCCACCGCUUCCG
rnacentral:tRNA from 1 species